rnacentral:piRNA from 1 species
UGACUUUCCUUCAGCACAGAGUGAUUCCUGU